CACACACAUAUACAUACAUACAUGCAUACAUACAUAUGAUGUUUGGCAUAGAAAGAAAAUAGGAGCAAAGAAUAACCAAGAUCACUUUGAUUGCAUACUCUCAGCAUGUUUUUUUUCCCUUUUUUCGAUUCAUGUAACAUUUGUUAGAUGGAUUUGGUAUGUUUUGGAAACAAACUCCACAAUUGCUCUUGCUAAAUCUUUCAUCUUAGGAUCACCCGGUUUUCCACCCUCUUCUAGCCCUUUUCAGUUAGCAAUAGGACUGAAAUUUAGGAUUAAUCAGUUCAAAACACGGGUGGAAAAAUGCUCUGUACUUGGGCUAGAAGUUCAUAAAUAUAUCUUUAAUUUUCAGUAUAAGUGCCAUCUUUUCAAAGUAUUCCUUCCUGUGUAAUAGAGAACAGGAGAUGCGGCAAAUAUCUGCUUGGUAGAAUCAGUUUAUGUAUAUCUAAUGAAAAAGAAUGGAUUGAAUUCAGGGACCUUAUCACACUCAAAGUUGGAGACUCCUUUCCUAUAGACAACCCGUGACUUUUUUAGGACUGGAUACAUAUGAAUCAGAUUACACUCAUGGUUCCUCCCCGUAUCAAAUAAAAUAAGGUGCUUUGAUCACAUGGGAGAUGGCUGACUUCUCCGAACUUCUCUGAGCCUUCUCUGUUAAAAACAUUUUUUCUCAAAUGUUGUGCAGUUACAUAAUUUUGAGACUUUGGAAGACCGCUGUCGCAGCAUUUCGAAGGAAUGGCUUCUGCGCUGUCCUAAGGGACCCUGAACAUAAUUUCCGGAUUUGAUUUGUUUACCUUUGUCUGGAUCUUAAUCAUUUUUGCAGAAAACAUGGCACUGGUGUACUAUUUUCUCAUUAUGAUCCAUAUACUGAUUGAGUACUAUGAGAGUGAGCUAGAGUGACUAUGGAGACGACCAAGGCUUGCUCUACGUUUUAAUAAGAAUUGUGGAAGGGCUCCUCCAUUUGCAUUCAGUGGAUUGCAUAAUAACAGAGACUGAUGUCCUUGCCUGGUAUGGGCAAUGAUGGAUUAGACCUUUUGUAAGAAGGCUUUAGUGAAGAGAAGAGGACUAGGACAUGUGGUUGAAAAAUAUCAGGAUGACCAAGACAACUGUAUAAAAUUGCACGCAUCCUGCGCCAACAUCUUGAGUGGACAAGGACCAUAAUGCGUGAUGCCAUAAGCAUUGAGGAGAAGGUGACCAUUGCUAUAUGGUGGCUUUCCACUCUGCUCUACCACAAAGUGGCAGCUAAUUCCAAAAUUGGAAACUAAGGUUGCAGAGAUCAAGAUCAAAGUUUGCUUGGCUACAGAAAAAGAACGUCUUAGAAAGACAGUGCAGCUUAACAGCCAUCAAAAGAUCAUGGAUGGCUUCAAGGAACUAGAAUUUUCCCAUUGUAUUAGUGCAAUUAAUGGGUGUGUGUCCACUCUCUGGAAGGGAAGAGGAGUUCCUGAACAGGAAGAAAGUCUCAGACACUUCAUAGAUAUAGUAUUGGAUUAUCCAGAAGAAACUAGAGUGCACAUAUUUUCUACCAUCCUGCUUUGUAUCAGGCUAUGCAGGCUUUUGUCCCUGGGAAUCCUACAAUGACAAUAAGCAGAGUUGAGGUACUUUUCCGAUCCUUGGAGACAGAGCAUACCCACUGCCAUAUUGGCUUAUGAAUCCUUAUAGAGGCAAGUUGGAUGAGAGCACACGGGACUUUAUGCUCCGAACUGGACAAGGAACAUAGUGGAAAGGGGUGCCUUUCAUCUCAACUUUCUGUAGCAGAGGAGAAUUUUGUACCUGAUGUUUCAGCUUGCGUUGCUCUACAUCUAUAUAAAUAAAAAUGUAAUGUUCA